AAACUAUAUAGUUAACAUAUAUAUUUGUGUGUAUAUAUGUUUAACUACAUACAUAUGUGUAGCUCAGUGCCUUAGGUCCAUUAUAGUAGCAGAUAAACCAAAGUAAUUUUGUCACGAUGAUCAUAUGCCUAUGGAAGAAGAUUGGCUCAAGUGAAAUUAACUUCUGCACUUUUGGGUUUUAUACUGGUAGUAGGAGCACAGCUGGCUUUUAUCCCUCUGAAUCAUUGUUCUUUAUAGAGCUCUUUUUCAGAAUGGUCUAGCCAAAAUGUGAUGUUCCUUGGACCUGAGAAUUGGAACUCAGAAACUAUUCUUUAUACAUUAUUCAAACAGAAAAGGAGUUACUUGGAAGUUCUUAAUAAUAAUCCUAAUAAAUAAAUUUAUGAUCUCAAAAAUGUAGGUCUGAAAUCUUAACCUCUGACCCUUCACACCACCAGUCAGAAAUUUUCACAGCUGUUUUCUUUUCCUUGAUAGAACAUAGAGGGCAUGGUUUAGUUGAAGUAAGUUGUAUAUACAUGUAACUACCAUGAUGAUCCCUAACGAAGUUCUGUAAUUCUGCUUGGCUUCUUUGGGAGGCUGCUGAGUGUGACUCACCCAUAUUCCCAACCCAUUUCACUCCGUACUACUAUUUUUUUUUUUAAGAUUUUAUUUAUUUUUUAAGUAAUCUCUACACCCAUCAUCAAGAGUCACACUCUCUGCUGACUGAGCCAGCAAGGCAUCCCACUCCAUGCUACUUUAAAAAGUGGUUUCCUUCUUUGGCUGCCAGGACCAUAUCACUCCCCAAGUUCCUCUAGCAAGGGAGCUUUACUUUAAAGCCACACAUGAUACUAACAGAGAAGGGAGAGCUGGGACACAACCAGGCCUCAUAGGGACUGGAACAGUAAGCAGUUUAGGAAUUGGAAGUAUCUGAUGCAUUUCUAAGAACUGAGCCACCAUGUUGCCCUCUAAGUAAUAGGAGUUUGUCAAUGCCCAUCUGCCAGUUAUACUAUUGAGUUCUUCUCUGGUUCUUUCCCUACAAGCUUAUCCUCCUCUUUAUGGCCUUAUCUUGUAUUUUAUUUUUGUCUUCUCACUGAUAGUUUCUCUUACCUUUGUCUUUAAGCCUUGAGCUUCUCUCCUGGCUUGCUGUCUCUGUGUCACCUUCCUUUCCAUCACCAACUUUCUGGUCUUUGUGUUUCUCCUCUUCAUGCUCCAGUGGGAGAGAGAAACUUUUCAGGCUAGUCAGUCGCUGUGGUCUCUGUUUGAGAGAGCCUGUCAGCUUCUGGCUAGUGUGUACAUUGGCUGCCCUUGGGUAGCGUCUCACUCCCAUUGCCCAUCGGCUUCGGAAGCUUUGUAGGGGUGGGCAUGGAGGAGGAGUGGCAGGAAGUAGAGCGCACAGAACCCUAGCGCAGUCCCUGGGGCUUGCCUGAGUCUGCUCACAGUCAAAUCCAGGCUUCCAUCCAACCCCCGGGACAGUGUAAUUGACUGUCCUGUAACAUCACUCUCCUACCAACUGGCUCACAGGAUGUUGCUGGUUGAUGCUUUUAUAUAUGUAGGACUCAUUCUGUAUUUAGGACUGGCUUGAGCUGCUCUGGGACCUUCUCACUUGGCUUUGUAAGGAAGUUCUCUAUUUUUCCCUGUGCAGCUAGAGUAAUAUUUUUUCCCUUUGUCACUUUCUUCAUGCCCUGUAUUCCUUCAUCUCCAUUAACCAGUCCGUUCAGAAGCAGUGGCAAGGGUGACUUGGAAAGCUGAGAAGGAAUACAUAGAGAAGAAGUUGAUUGUGGCUAAAACUAGCUGCUUAGCAUAAUUCAUUGAACUCAGAAGGAUCUGAAUAUUUUCUUUAGUUUGUUAGCUGUUUGGAGCUUUGAAAACGGGAAAGAUGGAAGCAGAAGAAAAGACUGGGCCACAAGGAUCAAGAACAGUGAGCUAAGGACAGGCAAUGGAGUAGGGCGUGGAGAUUGGUCAUUGCUACAUUCUGUCCACUUUCUGGCUGGGCUGAGUAGGGGAGGGGUAUAGAGUUCACAGUGGGGGUGAACAGGUGAUAGCAUUUUUCAACAAGAAGUGUAACAAAUGACUGAUUUGGAGGAAAUAAUAGCAUGUACAAAUGAGAGAAUGUAGAUGUUUUAUUUGAUGUAGAUGGAUCAUUUGAUCAUUUUAUUCUAUCAAUGUAUAUAAUCAUUUGCAAUUAAUCAUUAUAUAGUCAUUGAAAUGAAACAUUAUAUUGCCUUUAUUUGUGUCACUUAUUCAGUUCAUUUUCUCAAUUUUUAAUUAUAUCAGCUUCCAGUCAGAAGACUAUACAACCUCCUAGGAAAGCUGUAGAGGAGCCCCUUAAUGCAUUUAAAGAAUCAAAAGGAAUGAUGAAUGAUGAGUAACUGAAGUGAAGUGACGGACUCUGAUUUGGAAAGUAGUAAGACGUGAAAGGAGUACAAUUGUGUUUGAGCACCAUGGCCUUGGUUCACUGUUCAGGAGAAGAGAACAAGAAAGAUAACUGGUUCUCAUCUGUGGAAAAAAGUAAAUCAUUGACCCUUAAAUGAUUAUUGUUACAGUUUUUAUUCAAAGCAUUUGUAAUGUAGUUAAUAAAAGAAUUGUCAUCUGUGUUGUGUGCCCAAUUGA